GAUGAACGCUGGCGGCGUGCCUAAUACAUGCAAGUCGAGCGAACAGACGAGGAUCUUGCUUCUCUUACGUUAUCGGCGGACGUGUGAGUAACACGUGGAUAACCUACCUAUAUUACUUGGAUAACUUCGUGAAACCGGAUCUAAUACCGGAUAAUAUAUUGAACCUCAUGGUUCAAUAGUUUAUUACGGUUUUGCUGUCUCUUUUAGAUGGUUCCUCGCCGCAUUAUCUAUUUGGUAAGGUAACGGCUUACCAAGGCAACGAUGCGUAGCCGACAUGAGAGGGUGAGAGGCCACACUGGAACUGAGACACGGUCCAGAGUACUACGGGAGGCAGCAGUAGGGAAUAUUACGCAAUGGGCGAAAGCAUGACGGAGCAAAGCCGCGUGAGUGAUGAAGGUCUUCGGAUCGUAAAACUAUGUUAUUAGGGAAGAACAAAUGUGUAAGUAACUAUGCACGUCUUGACGGUACCUAAUAAGAAAGCAACGGCUAACUACGUG
rnacentral:rRNA from 1 species